AAAGCGCUAAUCCAAAGUUUAAAAAGAAAAAAAAAAUGAAGAUAAAAUACUCUUUUCUAUCUCUGCCGUUCUCCUCUCAUAGUCUGAUGAAGCUCUGUCUCCGUCUCUAAGGCUCCUCUUUGACGCUCUCAACUCAGACAAGGAGAUGUCGAUACCAGGUCAAUUCAAUCUUCUGUCGCUGCACUACCAAUUGCUCUCUUAUUCUGGGUUCGAAUUGGGUCUUUGCUACCAUAUUUGGUCCCACGUUUCAAGUUGGGGUCUCAACUUCCACUAGAUUGUGCACAGGGAAAUGCAGGACAAUUUUCCUCAUAUAUGCCAGCUUCAUGCACAGGGCCUUGAAAUAAUUCAAAUUACUUCUGGAUCAAGAGAACUCGAUAAGAUAUUGGAGGUUCGGUUGUACUAUUGCUAGCUAGCUUCAUGCAUAGGGCCUUGAAAUUACUUCUGGAUCAAGAGAACUCGGUGCUAAAGCUCUAUAUAAAACCUCUAAAAGAGAAAUUCCAUUUCUAGUGACGAGUUCCAAGUGCAAGAGUAGAAAAGAUUCCAAGAUUUGGGGAAGUAAUCAGGAGGAUGCCUAUGAUUUAGUUCACCAAUAACCAAAUGAUUUAGUUACUUCUAUAUUGGAUUUAGUACAGGACAAUCCCUAAACUCUUUUGAAUUAGUAUAUAGUAUUUGGUCUAACUACUUUGAAUUAGUACUUAUUGUAAGGGAAUACUUUGAGUUAUAAUUACUUUAAUUUUAAUAUAUAUUUCUUUUGUCUA